AUUAUAUUGUUCAUGUUCAAAAUCAUCUGAGAUGUGAAGAUGGCUGCAAAAUCAGUAAGUCGUGUGCGCCAAAUACAUUGAUUAAGAAGUCCAGAUAAAAUGUAUCGCCUUAUUGUUUGUCAUGCGAUUUUUCAAAUUGAAAAAAUAAACCAAGAAUAAAGCUGUAAAACAGCAAGUGAUGGAAAGAUGGUGAGGGAGCAUUUUUGCAAUUGGUAUGGGUUCUCAAACGCUGGAAAUUUUGAGACAAGGCGUCUGGGCGAGCCUGACAGGAGGCUGGUUUUACGAUCCCCAUCUCGAUGUUUUUUCAAAUACUUUUCACUUAUAUAUUUGGCUUUUCUUACUUUGCCUACCAUUUACUAUAUAUCUUUAUUUUCCACCAACGUUAUAUGUUUGGAUAGCAUAUUGUUCUUCAAUUGGAGCACUGUUUGGUACAAUAAAGUGUGUUAAUCAUGCACUUCAUUGUAUGUAUGAUACAACUGAAUGUCUAGAAGAAUCAAAUCAAACUAUUAGUCAACAUAGAUCAGAAAAUGAAAAAAGACGCACAGUGCAUAAUAAAUGUAGGGAACAAUCACAAGAACAAGUAGAUCAUGGAAUAGAAUUACAAGUCUUAAAUGGAAAAACAGAUACACCACCUGUAGAAUGCUCAUCACGUAAUUCUUUUAUUGAAUCAAAUGUACAAAAUGCAGAUGCAGAUAGUAUAACAUCUGAAUAUAAUCGAGAUAAACCUAGUUCAACUAUAGAUUUGAAAGUAGAAAUUCACAGAAAAAAUAGCUCUGAAAGUUCAGAAGAAGCACAACAGUUGACUAAACCAAUGGUAUCUAGUAUAAAUAUACAUGAAGCAGAUUUAGCUUCUACGCAAUAUCAUGAACCAUGUUUUCGAAAUAUAAUAAAUGAUAGAAGAUUGAAAAGACAGAAAUGUGUUGUAAUUACUGAAGAAGAUCGACAAAGUUCAAGAAAAUUAUGCAGACAUGCAUCUGAAGAUUCGCGAAAUCGUCAUUCUAAACAAGGUAGUCUUGGUAAAACAGGUUCAGAGAGUCAAAUAAAACAAACGAGCUCAUUAGAAUUGGAACAUCAUGAAGAUGAUUAUCCUUACUGGAAAUCAAAUCAAAGUGUUCGACGUCUCAAUUCUAAUUCGAUUCCAAUAGAAACACAUUUAAUGAAUGAUCACCCACAAAGUUUAGAAAUUAUAUCAAAAAAAGAAGAUACAGAAAAAAAUAAAAUUUCAUCACAUCCACAAUCUCUAGAGGUUAUUACAAAAAAACCACAUCAACAACUUAUUCAUCCACAAAGUCUUGAAACAAUUGGUGCUACUAAAAAUAUAAACACUACAGAUGACAAUAAUUUACCUCUUCACCCACAAAGUCUUGAAACAAUUAAUACUAAAAAGGUAUUACCUCAAAAUACAUUAAAAAAAAACCAAUUACAAUUGUUACCAUAUCUUAGUUAUGGAUCAGAAAUAGUACAUCCUAUAGAAGAACAAAGUGAUGAACAAUUUGCUAAUGAAAGUUCUGGAGGAUUUAGUCUUCAGGAUUCUUAUAGUCCACUACUUACUCGAAAGACUUGUGAAACUAAUGCUACCUCUAAUCGGGAUAGAAGUCUUAGUACUAGUCGAUUUGAAGAUAGAUUUUCAAGACGCAAUGAAGAUGGUGGUGUAGAUAAUGAUUCUGCAAAUUCUCGUGAUGCAUUAAUUGAAGAAUCAAAACCUGGUAUUAAAAGAAGAUAUAGUAAUACAAGUCAAAGCAGUCAUGAAUUCUCAGAUUUAGACAACUUAUUCAAAGAUAAACAAGAUAAAUCGAAAAAUAUUGAUGAUCCAUUAAAUGUUGGAAGUAUAGUUGGAAUAGAUCAAUUAUUUGAAAGUGGUGAUUGCACGAUAGAAUCACGAAUAAAUAAAGGAUUACAUAACAAAGAACCAGAUUCUGGUUCAUCUAAUGUGAUGCCUUUUGAGUAUACAACAUACUCAUCAAAUAUGGAAAAUGAAGUAAAAAGAAUGUUACUUCCACAAAUAGAAACAGAUAACAAACGACAUCAAGGUGCAAUACCCAAACAAAGCCGUCCAAAACCUGCAAUAGAAGCCAUAGAUGAUAAUAUUAUAACUACCGAACAAACCCGACAUAAAUUAAAACGAACAUUAGAAGUUAAAAGAGAUAGAAGAAGAGACGGAAGAUUUGAUAGAUUUGAGCAAACUAGUGGUUCAAACAACGAGUUAAGUACACUUAGUCUUGCAUCUUCUUUAUUAGCUACAUUAUUAACAUCUGGUCGAGAAUUACCAGGUCAAUCUAGUACUGUAUCUGAUUUAAGAUUAAGUCGUAAUUCAGAUAAUCGAAAUUCACGAAAAAGACGUGGUCCUUUAAAAUGUUCGAUUAGACCACAUCGUGUACCCCGAGAUAGAAAUCGAGAUGAUAACGUCGUUCCACUUACUGCUUUAUUUGGAUUGAUAUCAAAUGAAGAAUGUCAUUUAGUUUCUAAUCAUAAUGAUGCUGUAGAAGCAGCUGUACCUUAUUUUCGAGAUGAAAAUGGACGCUGGCUAGCUUAUACCUUUGAUGAAAAAGGAUCUAAUGUUGCUGCUGCUGCGCAAGUUCCUUCUAAUAAUAACGAUAAAUUAUUAAAUACAUUAUUACGCCAACAACUUAAUCAAAAUUUACAUUAUGAUGCCAAUUGGGAGUUAAUAGACUCCUUAAGUAAUAGUUAUAGUAGUUUAUCUUUAAAUUCUCCUGAUUUAAGUGUUAUAAUAGACACACCACCUGUUUUGUCAAGUCCAGAAAGUAAUCAAACUAAGGCACAAAAUUCAUUAUCUUCAAAUCCAGUAGAAACUUCAGAACGUGAUCAAUUUCAUCAAAAUAAUGGAAAUUCUAUUCAAUGUGAACUUGAAACGUUAGAACGAGAUCAAUUUCAUCAAGAUAUAUUAUCACGUAUAGAAUCGAUGACAGAGAGAAAUCAAAGAUUACGAAAUUUAUUGGGAUAUUUCAACUUAAAUAUUUAUCCAGCAGAUUCAAAUCGUCGAGAUAGACCUGCUUUAACAUUACAAACGUGCGCAGUAGGGGAUAUAAAUACAAGUUUAUCUUGGAAUAGAUUUAUUGGUGGUUUAGAUGGAUCCGAAUCUAAAACUAAACAAUUAAGACAAGACAAGCAAUAUUAUUAUAAAUGGAAAAUUGGUAAAUUACCACAUAUCAAAGUACGAUUCGAUCGUUUAUUUUUAUUGGCCUUAUUAGAUCGAAAUUUGACGAUAUUUGAGACUAUUAUUUCAACAUUUUUAGCAAUUGCUGUUGCAGGAUUGGGUCUUGUAUUGCUCCAACAAGGAUUUUAUCGAGAUAUAUUUGCUUUCAUGUUUUGUUUUGUAACUGCUGGAUGUCAAUAUUCAUUAUUAAAAUCUGUUCAGCCUGAUGCUGCUUCUCCAACACAUGGAUUUAAUCGUAUUAUAGUAUUUUCUCGGCCUGUAUAUUAUAUAUUGUGUUCAGGAUUCGUAUUGAUCUUUAAUGAAUCUUUAAAAAACUUUAAAACAUCUGAAUUUCGAAUAUAUGGUUUACGAAUUGCUGAUUAUGAUGUUAUAUUACAAAUUCGUAAUAUUUUAUUAAUUUUUCUUUUAUGCUUUCCUAUUAUAUUUUCAUUAGGCUUACUUCCUCAAAUUAAUACUUUUCUAAUGUAUCUAUGUGAACAUAUAGAUAUUCAUUUAUUUGGUGGAAAUGCAAGUACAAGUUUAAUCUCUUCAAUAUAUUGUCUUUGUCGCAGUAUUGUUACUGUUGUUAUAUUGUAUGGAUUUGCUUAUGGAGCACUCACAGAACCUAAAUCUUCACAACAUAUUUUAUUCUCUAUUUUUGCGGGUUUAUUGGUUGCUAUAUCUUAUCAUUUAAGUAGAUCAUCAUCAGAUCCUACAGUAAUAUGGGACAUCGUUAAAACAAAUUUGUGGCCACCAGAAAUUUAUACUGAAGAAAAAGAAGCUAAAAUCAUUGAGAAUACAUCUCAUAAAGAUAAUUUACCUACAACAUAUAAAGAAGCAAAAAUUAGAACUUCUGGAAGAAAAAAACAUGUAAAAAUUAAAGUGGGUGAACAAAUGUCGGAUACAGAAUUAGUUGAUCCAUUACCUGAAAAAUUAAGGGCAACAGUGAAUGCAAGAUUAAAAAAUGAUUUAAUAAUAUGUGCAGUAAUAGGUACUUUAUCUUUUGGAAUCCAUUGUUCAACUGUAUUUUCAGCUUUACAACCAGAACUGAAUCCAGUUUUAUGGGGUAUUGCAAGUUGCCUUGGAUUUUUACUACAUUACAUUGUACCACAACUUCGAAAACAAUUACCAUGGUUAUGCUUAUCAAGACCAGUAUUACGUAGUCAUGAACAUGCACAAUUUGAAGUUCGUGAACCUGUGAAAAUUAUGUGGUUUGAAAAGGCAUAUGUCUGCCUUUGCUUUUUAGAAAGAAAUAUUCUUUAUCCAGUAGUAUUUUUAGGAGCACUCACAGAAUGUUCAUCAAAAAUUGUAUCUAAAUUUGGAGAAAGUAUAGGAGCAUUAAUUAUAGUUAUAUGUGGAUUAAAAUCUUUAAGAUCAGCAUAUUCUGAUCCAUCAACACGUUACUUAGUCUUAAUCUUUGCUGUUUUAUUUUUCAAACUAGAUUUUCGAAAUCUCAGUGAGACUUUUUUAGUAGACUAUUUUAUCAUAGGAAUAGCUUUUGCAAAAAUUUAUGAAUUACUUUUAAAAAUACGAUUUGUAGUUACAUAUAUCGCACCUUGGCAAAUUACUUGGGGUAGUGCAUUUCAUGCAUUUGCUCAACCUUUUUCUGUUCCACAUUCUGCUAUGUUGUUUUUGCAAGCGGGGAUUUCUGCACUUUUAAGUACUCCUUUAAAUCCCCUUUUGGGCAGUGCAAUAUUUAUAUCAUCAUAUGUACGUCCAGUAAAAUUUUGGGAACGAGAUUAUAAAACAAGAAGAGUAGACCAUUCAAAUACACGAAUGUCUUCGCAUUUAGAUCGAAAUCUAGGUGCAGAUGAUAAUAAUUUGAAUUCAAUUUUUUAUGAACAAUUAACAAGAUCAUUACAACACAGUCUUUAUGGAGAUCUUGCUCUUGGUCGCUGGGGAAAUGUAGAACAAGGUGAUUGCUUUUUACUAGCAUCUGAUUAUUUAAACUGUUUGGUACACAUUGUUCAAUUAGGAAAUGGAUUAGUAACCUUUCAAUUGAGAGGUCUUGAAUUUAGAGGAACAUAUUGUCAACAAAGAGAAGUAGAAGCAAUCUCUGAAGGAAUUGAAGAUAAUGACAAUUGUUGUUGUUGUGAAAUGGGACAUUUUUCAAAUGUAUUAAGCGUAAAUGCAGCUUUUAGUCAACGCUGGUUAGCUUGGGAAGUUGCAAGUGCUAAGUACGUUUUGGAAGGAUACUCAAUUUCAGAUAAUUCAGCAGUUUCUAUGCUUCAAGUGUUUGAGUUUCGUAAAGUACUAGUUACUUACUAUGUCAAAAGUAUUGUUUUCUAUGCUGUAAAAUCACCAAAAUUGAAAUAUUGGUUAGAGAAUUCCGAUAUUUCUGAUGCCCUAAAAAUAACACUUGAUAAAAACUUCGUUGACCUGGAUCCUGUUUUUAAUUUGAGUAUUCACGAAGAUUAUGAUAUCCGAACGUGUGGCAUUACAAGAAAUAGUUUUUGCAAUGUUUAUUUGGAUUGGAUACAGUAUUGUGUUACUAAACAAGAUAAGACAUUAGAUAAAUCAAGAAAUUCAUCAUUGGUAUCUUUAUGUCUUGCUUUAAGUCUCUUGGGAAGACGCGUUUUGGGAGCACUAUCUCAUAACACUGUUUCCAGUGUUGAAUUUUUUUUAUAUGGUUUACAUGCUCUUUUUAAAGGAGAUUUUCGUAUAACAUCAAUUAGGGAUGAAUGGGUAUUACAUGAUGUUGAUUUAUUACGAAGUGUCGUAGCAAAAGGAGUAAGAAUGGCAUUAAAAUUACAUCAAGAUCAUUUUAUGAGUCCAGAGCAAUAUAGUGAACUGUCUGCUCUUUAUGAAGCUAUAGAUAGUCAUGAUAAAAAUCUUGUAAUUAGUCAUGAAGCAGAUCCACUUUGGAGAAAUGCUGUUUUAAAUGGCGCACCAAGCCUUUUGGCACUUAGACAUGUACUUGAUGAUGGCAUUGAUGAAUAUAAAGUUAUAAUGCUUAACAAGCGUUUUUUAAGUUUUCGAGUGAUUAAAAUGAAUCGUGAAUGUGUUCGUGGUUUAUGGGCUGGACAACAACAAGAAUUAGUUUAUUUGAGAAAUAGAAAUCCUGAGCGAGGUUCUAUACAAAAUGCUAAACAAGCUCUUAGAAACAUAAUAAAUAGUUCUUGCGAUCAACCGAUUGGAUAUCCGAUUUAUGUUUCACCAUUAACAACUAGUUAUGCAGAAACUAAUGAACAAUUAUGUUCCAUAAUUGGUGGACCUUUAAGUCUUGGUGUAAUUAAAAGUAAUGUCUUAAAACUGUGGCAAAGGUACCCCUUAGUAUUAUAUCAUAAUCAGAAGAAGAUGCGGUCAAGGUUGUUCAUCUGGAGGGACAGGGUCUCAAGAUGAUGGAGGUUUUGGAAAUGAUGGAGUAUAUGCAAUGACUACAUAUAAUAUUCAUUUAGGUUAUGGACAAUCAGCAGGUCAUAACACAUCAGGUUCGCAAUCUAUAGAUUCUGGAUGUCAAAUUGGUGGAUCAGCUGGACGUGGUUCUUUAGGAAGAACGAAUACUGGAUCCUUAGGUGGAAAUAGAGGAUCAUUAGCUUCAGUUGGAAAACCAACAAGUUCGACGCUUGCUAGUUUAGCUGGUCUUCUUAGUAACAGCGAUAUUAAAACAGAAAGUAAAAGUGAAACAAGUUUCACGAGUAAACUUGAAAAGGACGAAGUUUUACAACGAGUACGAAUUAUAGAUCCUAAUCAAGUAUAUGAUGCUAUUAAUUUGGGUCGUCGCAUAGAUGUAAUUUGGCCAGAUGAAAGAAUGAGGCAACAAGGUGGUAGAUCUGGAUGGCAGCAUUGGGUACCUGAAAGAGGUAUGGAAGGAUGCGUUGUUCAUUGUUGGUCCCCAAAUCAUCGUGAUCCUAA
rnacentral:misc_RNA from 1 species